GCCUCCUCGCCCGCGCGCCGCGCUCAGUCCCGGGGCGCGCAGCGGGCGCACUCGGCUCGGCUCCGCUCGGCGCGCCAUGGCCCCGGGCCUGCGCGGCUUCCCGCGGCGGGGCCUCUGGCUGCUCCUCGUGCACCAGCUCUUCGUGGUCACCGCCUGCCGGGACUCCACCUUCGAUACUGUCAUCCAGGAGCUCUGCCUGGCCCAGUUCCAGCUGGACAUGGAGGCCAUCGGGGAGCCGCUCUGGUGCGACUGGGACAGGACCAUUGGGACCUAUGGGGACCUCAGCGACUGCACCAGACACGCUGCCGAGACGCUGGGCUGCUUCUGGCCCAACCCCGCGGUGGACAGGUUCUUCCUGGCUGUGCACCGGCGCUACUUCCGGAGCUGCCCCGCGUCCGGGAGGGCUGUGCGGGACCCGCCGGGCAGCGUGCUCUGCCCCUUCAUCGUGGUGCCCAUUGCCGUCACCCUGCUCGUCACGGCGCUAGUGGUCUGGAGGAGCCAGCACACCGAGGGCGUCAUAUAGCCCACGGGGCGGGGGGACCCCCAAUGCCAGGGCUGCCCCUGCACACCCAGGAUGGAGAGAAGGGGGUGGGGGGACCCCCAAUGCCAGGGCUGCCCCUGCACACCCAGGCUGAGGGAUGGGGCUGGGGGAGGUUUCCGGGGGCCUGGCUCAGGGAACGCUUCCCGUAAUGGCAAGGCAGCCCUGAGCUCCCCCUUUUCCCUCUAAUCUGAGAAGAGCUCCAGGAUUUCAGAACAGUCUGAAGCUGCCCCCACUCUGAUGGGCGGUGCAGGGGCCCGGACAGGUCAGCCGCGGCGCUGGGAGGAAGCAGGGUGUGACUGAUUUAUUUCGGGGGCCGUGUUCCCAGCUCAGCUUCUCCUGUUUCUGAGCCCUCCGGGGCGGUGUUCUGACCUCUGAACCCGACCACCCCCCCAGGGACAGGACGGGUUCAGGGGUGAGGAGUUUGUGAUUAAAAGGACGUUCCUAGC